GAAUGGUAAUUUUAUCACAUCUAAGUAUAUGUGACUUGCUUUUAAGUAAGUGGAUAUGAAUGUGUGUUUGCUUAUAUGUUUCUUAGGAAGAGUUCGAUAUAUAUGUGACUGGCUCAUAGAAUUUUGGUAUUUGGUGCCAUACUGCAUUGGGAUAUGAAUCUUCUUGCAAUCAAAUAACUGCUGAAGUACUGCGGUCUUCCAAAAUAUGGACAGCUUUGUCAUACACAUGGGAUAAUGCUGGGCACUUCAUUCAAGUAAGACGGUAUAGACCUACAUUGUCGCAAACCAACAAUGAAUGGUAUGUCAAUACCUGUUCAACUGGAGUGGACAACUUCAAAUAUCAUUUCCAGAAACGAACAUUCUCGGUUGGUCUAGUCAAAUAUAUUCGAAUGCUAUUUAAAAUAUUUUUUGAUUAAGGCCUAGUAUUUUGUACAUGUGGAUUAUUGAAACUUGUAUUAAGAUGUACAAAUAUUAUAAAUCGUAUUAUAGUGUAUAUAUAUUAAAGUGUUGGCUAUUUUUUUGUA